rnacentral:rRNA from 1 species
UAUAGAGGUCCCAAGCGUUACUGAGAAUCACUGGGUUUAAAGGGUGCGUAGGUGGCACGUUAAGUCAGUUGUGAAAUCCCCGGGCUCAACCCGGGAACUGCUUCUGAUACUGGCGUGCUUGAGGCCAGUAGGGGUCACUAGAACUGACGGUGGAGCGGUGAAAUGCGUAGAUAUCGUCAGGAAUGCCGGUGGUGAAGACGGGUGACUGGGCUGGUUCUGACACUGAGGCACGAAAGCGUGGGGAGCGAACGGG